UCGCGAGCAGACAGGCUCGGUUGCCAGGGGCGACAAUCUAUCGCUGGCUGGAUGAGCACACAAUGGCAGGGCCGGGCUCGGCUACGGCAGCAGGCGGCUCAGAGAAGCUCUGGAAGGAGCUGUCUAUUCUUAGGAAGGAUAACGCUUGCUGUGUCCUGUCACGUUGAACCACAGCCACUCUGGAAGAUCUACUGAACAAGUAAAGCGACAAUGAGGCCAGACCCCAUCCCGACUCCCUCAGGUGACUUCCAUACUCCCAGGAUAGGAUGAAUUCAGCAGCCACCCUACGGACUCACCCUGAUGUGGCACAUCACUGGGCCAUAUGCGACACACAACCUGAGAGAUGCACCCAGCUAAAAAUGUACUGCAGACAAAUCUGUUUCAGGAGCAGCGCACAGCAGCAGCAGCACACAAGACAGCUUCAACAGCCCACCUACACCGCUUCUGGCCACAGCGAGGAAGACAAGGAAAUAUUUGAGUUUGAGAAAUAUCGUCUAGAACCCGCAAAGGGGUUCUCACCGCACUGAGCAAAAGCGACCUGGCCAUAAGCCUGUGGUCGUAUGGAAGCAUAACCCUUCAGCAGAACAGCCAUGCAAAGGAAAACACGGUUCCCAACAGGGCACAAACAGACGUGAGCUGCUAGCGUUUCUGAGCCGAUCCUUCCAUUUGAUUUUGAAAGCUCUGCUCAACAUACAAAUCAAAUGCAUUCAACUGGACACACCAAGUCUGCGUAUAGUGCCAUGACUCGUUGUCUCUCUCUUAUUCCCUCUCUUUCUCCCUCUCUCAUCAUUGUGUACACUAUAGUGUAUAGUGCCACUGUAGUCUCUGCUCAACAUCCCAAUAAAAUGCAUUCAACUGGACCCACUAAUUCCUCAUUGUAAAUAACUGCACAGAGACAGCAGUUACACUAUGUUAUGUACACAGUGCUGAGCGAGAGGGAGAAAGAGAGGGAGUGAGAGAGAGAAAACGACGAGUCAUGCCACAGGAAGAAAACGCCAGAGAGAGCGAGUUCUGGGGGUUACAGCUGUCUACUGAGCGAGAGAGAGAGAGAGAGAGCAAGUUCUGGGGCUCACAGUUGUCUACCAAGCAAGAGAAAGAGAGCGAGAGCGAGACAGAGAGAGACAGAGAGUGAGAGAGAAAAUAAUGGGAAAAAGUUCUGAAACCCCUACCUUACA